rnacentral:rRNA from 1 species
UACGUAGGGGGCAAGCGUUGUCCGGAUUUAUUGGGCGUAAAGAGCGUGUAGGCGGCUAGGUAGGUCCGUUGUGAAAACUCGAGCUCAACCUCGAGACGCCGGUGGAAACCAUCUAGCUAGAGUCCGGAAGAGGAGAGUGGAAUUCCUGGAUGUAGCGGUGAAAUGACGCAGAUAUCAGGAAGAACACCCGUGGCGAAGGCGGCUCUCUGGGACGUGACUGACGCUGAGACGCGAAAGCGUGGGGAGCGAACAGG